UGAUCAUUGUGGCCGCCAGCUGACCCCACAGCCACCUUGUGCCUCCCUUGGACCCACCCAGGAAUUUCUGAGCCUUCUUUAUGAAUCCUGGCUAUGGAAGAAAGAGGACCAUAUAUUGGACUCCAAUUCAGAGCAUAUACAACCCUCUGGAGAACCUUGCCCUGGGACAAGCAGAGGUAUUGUCACAUAGCCAGCCCUGUAACUGAGUCUUCAGAAGGCCAUUCCACCAUUCUAUCCAGCCUGCUGCUUCAGGAGCCUGUUCGCGACGGGGUAGCCUCGCCGGCAGCUCCUGGGACCGGGAAAUCCAAGUGUGUCACAUUGAUUGAUUUGUGGAUAUUGAACAAUCCUUGCAUCCCUAGAAUAAAUCCCAGUUGCUCAGGAUUUAUGUCAGAAAGGAAAUCGUUGGCCGACCUGGCCGGGUCCUGCAUUAGCGUAGAUGUUUGCAGUCGGCGCCCUGCGGAAUCGGGUACCAAGAAGUCGGGCGCUGCAGCGGCGGGCAGGCUCCGCAGCAGAGCCCAGGCGGCAAACCUGAUAGCGGUGACGCUCCUCUGGCGUCUGCCCUGGCCCGGGCUUCCUUCAGCAGCUCCUCAGAGCGGUCCAGCAGCCACGGCCCUGGCUUCGCAAGCCUUAAUCGCAGAGACGGAGCUGGUGGCUGGUCUCCCCUUGUGUCAAAUAAAUACCAGUGGCUGCAGAUUGACCUUGGAGAAAGAAUGGAGGUCACAGCUGUGGCCACCCAGGGAGGAUACGGGAGCUCCGACUGGGUGACCAGCUACCUCCUGAUGUUCAGCGAUGGCGGGAGGAACUGGAAGCAAUAUCGACGAGAGGAAAGCAUCUGGGCGCUGGCAAUCACCAUGUUACUGGCUUUAUAAAUUUGAAUAGAUACCUCAUAUAAGUGGAAUCAUAUAAUUUUUGUUCUUUUGUAACUAGCUUAUUUCACUUAAUGUUUUCAAGGGUCAUCCAUUCUGUGGCAUGUGUCAGAAUUUCCUUCAUUUUAAGGCUGAAUAAUAUUCCACUGUAUGUAUAUCCCAGAUUUUUUUAAUCCAUUCAUCUGUUGGUAGAUACUUGGAUCGUUUCCACCUUUUGGCUAUGGUGGAUAAUGUUGCUGUGAACAUGAGUGUACAGGUAUCUCCUUGAGACCCUUCUUUCAACUUUUUUGGAUAUAUACCCAGAAGUGAAAUUGCUGGAUCAUAUGGUAAUUCUAUUUUUAAUUUUUUGAAGAACUGCCAUAACAGUCUUGCAAGUGGCUGCACUGUUUUACAUUCCUACCAGCAGUGCACGAAGUUUCCUAUAUAUCCUUGCCGACACAUCUUAUUUUCCAUUUAAAAAAAAAAAAUAGCCAAUCUAAAGGGAGUGAAGUAGUAUCUUACUAUGGUUUUGAUUUGUAUUUCCCUAACAAACAUCUUUUUCUGUGCUUAUUGGGCAUUUGUGUAUCUUCUUUAGAUAAAUGUUUAUUGCAGUACUUUGUGCAUUUUAAAAUCAGAUUGAUUUUUUUGUUGUUGAGAUGUACAAAGUUCUUUAUAUAUUCUGGAUAUGA